GUUGCUCUUCCCUUCCUUGUUGCCUUUCCCUGCCAAUGUGGCUGAGGCUGCGGGGCUCCUGGGGCCUCUCCUCCCAGACUUUCAGGGACAGGCUCUGGAUGUGGUCAGGGAUCCCUAGGCUGGAGGGCAGGAGACUUCCGUUGCUGUCCCUUAUUCCUGCCAACCAGGCUGUCGGUGGUAGCCGAGCACUGCCCCAGCCUGACCAGGUUGCCUGGCAGUGUGGGCUCUGGCUGGGCAGUUUCCGGCUCCAGCUGUCCUUACCAGAAAAACGGGACACAGGUUUGAUCCCUGAUCCGGGCAGAUCCCACAUGCAGAACAACUAAGCCCGUGUACCACAACUAUGGAACCUGCACUCUAGUGCCUACAAGCCGCAGCUACUGAUCCCACGCACCUCAAGCACUGAAGCCUGCACCCCAGAUCCCUGUUCCACAACAAGAGAGGCCACAGCACCGCAGCUAGAGAGCAGCUCCUGCUCGCUGAAACUAGAUAAAGUCAGGGCAGCAGUAAAGACCCAGCUCAGCCAAAAAUAAGACCCGGACUGAUGGAGCUGUCACCUC
ensembl:lncRNA